rnacentral:rRNA from 1 species
GACGAACGCUGGCGGCGUGCUUAACACAUGCAAGUCGAACGGAAAGGCCCUGCUUUUGUGGGGUGCUCGAGUGGCGAACGGGUGAGUAACACGUGAGUAACCUGCCCUUGACUUUGGGAUAACUUCAGGAAACUGGGGCUAAUACCGGAUAGGAGCUCCUGCUGCAGGGUGGGGGUUGGAUGGUUUCGGUGGUUGGGGGUGGACUCGCGGCCUAUGAGGAUGUUGGUGGGGUGGUGGCUUACCAAGGCUUUGCCGGGUAGCCGGCCGGCGCGGGUGACCGGCCACAUUGGGACUGAGAUACGGCCCAGACUCCUACGGGAGGCAGCAGUGGGAAAUAGUACACAAUGGGCGGGAGCCUGAUGCAGCAACGCCGCGUGCGGGAUGACGGCCUUCGGGUUGUAAUCCUCUUUCGCCUGUGACGAAGCGUGAGUGACGGUAAUGGGUAAAGAAGCACCGGCUAACUACGUG